rnacentral:rRNA from 2 species
AGAGUUUGAUCCUGGCUCAGGAUGAACGCUAGCGACAGGCUUAACACAUGCAAGUCGAGGGGCAGCAUGAUUUGUAGCAAUACAGAUUGAUGGCGACCGGCGCACGGGUGAGUAACGCGUAUGCAACUUACCUAUCAGAGGGGGAUAGCCCGGCGAAAGUCGGAUUAAUACCCCAUAAAACAGGGGUCCCGCAUGGGAAUAUUUGUUAAAGAUUCAUCGCUGAUAGAUAGGCAUGCGUUCCAUUAGGCAGUUGGCGGGGUAACGGCCCACCAAACCGACGAUGGAUAGGGGUUCUGAGAGGAAGGUCCCCCACAUUGGUACUGAGACACGGACCAAACUCCUACGGGAGGCAGCAGUGAGGAAUAUUGGUCAAUGGCCGAGAGGCUGAACCAGCCAAGUCGCGUGAAGGAAGAAGGAUCUAUGGUUUGUAAACUUCUUUUAUAGGGGAAUAAAGUGGAGGACGUGUCCUUUUUUGUAUGUACCCUAUGAAUAAGCAUCGGCUAACUCCGUGCCAGCAGCCGCGGU